AUGUUUUAUAUGUGGCCAAUGCUUGUCUCCAGUGUACGAUUUUUACAGUGGCAUUCAGGCAUUUUCAAGAGGAAUUUCAACAGAUGCUGGAAUUCUGCAAUCAUAUACAGAAGGUUAAAACCCACCCACAAAACAGAAGUUGAGCCUGGACCUGCAAUCUUCAUCAUGGGAGAAGAGAAUGACUGUGAAAAGGGCAACCAAGGAUCAUGUACCCUGUGUGUGUGUGUGUGUGCCAGCCCUGAGAUGAAGCACCACUCUGACACACUUCGCAUCAUGAGAGCGACAUCUCCAGCCUGCCAGGACCAGUCAGCACCAGCACUGUCACAAACACACACUGCUCUCUGGGUUUCUCACUCGCUCACUCACACACACACACACACACACGUCUACAGGCGUCCUGCAAAAACUGACACUGUGCUGGAACAGCAGGAAUCCAGCACAUCACAUUACCAUCAAAACCUGCACUGCCAAGACAGGUCCGUUUCACACACACUUUGACAUACACACACAGGAAGGAAGGAAGAAAGAAAGAAAGAAAGAAAGAAAGAAAGAAAGAAAGAAAGAAAGAAAGAAAAAGAAAGAAAGAAAGAAAGAAAGAAAGAAAGAAAGAAAGAAAAUCAGGAAAGGAAGGAAAACAGACAGACAGCAAGGAAAGGAAAGGAAAGGAAAGGAAAGGAAAGGAAAGGAAAGGAAAGGAAAGGAAAGGAAAGGAAAGGAAAGGAAAGGAAAGGAAGAUAUAACUAUAAAAAAAGGAAAGGAAAGGAAAGGAAAGGAAAGGAAAGGAAAGGAAAGGAAAGGAAAGGAAAGGAAAGGAAAGGAAAGGAAGCAGGACGAACAAAAAGGAAAGGAAGAAAUAUCAGAGAAAGGAAAACAGAGCUAGAAAAGGCAGAUAAGAACACAGACAGACAAGAUAAAAAGAAGGAAGAAAGAAAGAAAAGAAAGAAACAGACAGAAAGAAAGAAAAUAAGAAAGAACAAAAAAGAAGAGAGUAAGGAGUGACAGAACAGACAGAGAGACAAAAGGAAGAAACAGAAAGGUAACAAACGGACAUGAAAGGAAGUGAGGAAGUAUGAACACAGACAAGUAGAAGGAAACAAAUGAUCAGAUAGAAAGGAAAGACGGAAAUCAGACAGACAAACAAGAAUGAAAGACAGACAGGAAGGAAGGAAGGGAAUCAGAAAGGAAGGAAGAUAAAAAGAUAUGAACAGAGAAGAAAGCAAGAAAGAAAGAAAAGCAACACAGGAAGAACGGAAAGAAAAAAGGAACAGAGAAGGGAAAGAUGGAACAGAGAAAAAUGGAACAUUUCCUAUUAAAACAGGAAGUUGGAGCAAGGCAUAAUUGUAAUAUUUGAAAGAUUGCCAAUUCUGCUAAUCAUUAUUUUUGUACAGUUGAGCACACUAGCAUACUCAUAGCCUAAACGCCCGGUUUUGAUUUGGUCUCUAAUGGCACUCGAGACAAGAAAACAGGAAGUGGCAAGAACACUUUCCAGCCACUGGGGCUUGCGAGGACAGAGGCUGGCAUGCAGAAGGACAUGAGACGACGAGUGCUGUUGAUUGAAGAUAUCAAUGAUACCCUGCAAACGAUCUCACUACAUCAAACUUUUACAAGUGAAGGGGCAUUUGGGACCCAUCACACACACACAUAUGGAAAGUGAGAGGCCAGUACGGAGCGAUGGAAAGCUAAACUAAAGCGAGAGAACGUGAGAGGAAGAGAUGGAGAGACUGAUAGGCGCUGAUCUUCAUGAUAAGCACUUCUGACAACUUGUGAGCGGUUUGCUGGUAGGACACUAAUUGCCAGUGAAAGGUGACCGGGAGAGAGGCAAAGCAGCUCAGCUCAGAUAGGCCUCUCGCCUCGGUCCGACAUGAUACCCUACGACAGCACACAUCCUCGUAUCAAAAACCCAACACACACACUUGACACCAACCCAUCACUCUCUGCAAAAAACAGCGCACUGAUACUCCCCUGGCACCCAGGGAAAAAAAGAGGGAGGGCGAGAAGCGAGGAAUCGAGAAUGAGAGAGAUGAAUCGUAUUGACAGGUAGCCCACGGUGGUGAGGUUGAAGUUGAAACUGCCUGGGUAGAAAAAGGAAGGUGAGACCCAUGAACUGAGUGCCAUUUAACUGGCCAAGACUGAACCUUUUCCUCUCAUCUUCAAAAUGAUGUACAGAAGCCAGAGGCACAUGCUGUAUUAUAUCACGAGUGAAAGCAUUAUGGGUAAUACUGUGAAGAAAGACUCAGACAGUGGUAAUUAGUGGUGCUUGCUAAGAUACUUUUCUACUGUCUGAUAUUACAAAAGCUAUAAAAUGAUUUUGAGAACCAAUGUAUAAUACGCAUUUUUUUAAGAAUAAGUUUCAAGAAUAAAGUAUUAUAACAUUAAAGUAAAAAUUCUAAGAAUAGUUGAAGUAUUAUGUAUGGAGCCCCGCACAUGACAUGCAAGAAAAAAUUAAUAAAUUGUGCACACGAUUUACUAAUUAGUUCCCUCAGUAUACUAAAAUGUGCACGAAUGUGCGCAGUAUUACUACUGCGUUCCCUCGAUUUGCUAAAUCAGGCGCACGAUUUAGCCUACUAUCUUUUCCUGCAUGUCAUGUGCGGGGCUCCGUAAUUAUGAGAUUAAUGUAGUAAUAUUUUGAAAAUAAUAUUUAAAUAAUUAGAUUAAUGUAGUAAUAUUUUGAGAAUAAGGUAAAAAAAUGCAAAUAAAAUUAGUACUACUCUGACAAUAUUCAAAAUAAGCAAAAUUUUGAUAAUAAAGUCAAAGCAUUUUUAAAUUUCAGUAGUAGUAUUUCUACAGUUUUUGGUAGGAAAUAUUUUUUUUAUGUUUUGGAAAGAAGUCUCUUAUUCUGACCAAAACUACAUUUACUUGAUUAAAAGUACUUUAAUAUUGUGAAAUAUUAUUAAAAGUUUAAAUACUUUAUAAUUUAUACCAUAAAUUACCAUGUAAUUUAUUAAUG
rnacentral:lncRNA from 1 species